rnacentral:rRNA from 1 species
UGGGGAAUAUUGCACAAUGGGGGAAACCCUGAUGCAGCGACGCCGCGUGAACGAAGAAGGUAUUCGUAUCGUAAAGUUCUGUCCUAUGGGAUGAUAAUGACAGUACCAUAGAAGAAAGCUCGGGCUAAAUACGUACCAGCAGCCGCGGUAAUACGUAUGGAGCGAGCGUUGUCCGGAACUAUUGGCCGUAAAGGGUACGCAGGCGGUUUAAUAAGUCGAAUGUUAAAGAUCGGGGCUCAACCCAGCAAAGCAUUGGAAACUGAUAAACUUGAGUAGUGGAGAGGAAAGUGGAAUUCCUAGUGUAGUGGUGAAAUACGUAGAUAUUAGGAGGAAUAGCAGUAGCGAAGGCGACUGUGUGGACACAAACUGACGCUGAGGUACGAAAGCGUGGGGAGCAAGCAGG